rnacentral:rRNA from 1 species
GACGAACGCUGGCGGCGUGCUUAACACAUGCAAGUCGAACGGAAAGGCCUCUUUCGGGGGGUACUCGAGUGGCGAACGGGUGAGUAACACGUGAGUAACCUGCCCUUGACUUUGGGAUAACUUCAGGAAACUGGGGCUAAUACCGGAUAGGAGCUCCUGCUGCAUGGUGGGGGUUGGAAAGUUUCGGCGGUUGGGGAUGGACUCGCGGCUUAUCAGCUUGUUGGUGGGGUAGUGGCUUACCAAGGCUUUGACGGGUAGCCGGCCUGAGAGGGUGACCGGCCACAUUGGGACUGAGAUACGGCCCCGACGCCUACGGGAGGCAGCAGUGGGGAAUAUUGCACAAUGGGUGGAAGCCUGAUGCAGCAACGCCGUGUGCGGGAUGACGGCCUUCGGGUUGUAAACCGCUUUCGCUCAUGACGAAGCUUUGUGUGACGGUAGUGGGUAAAGAAGCACCGGCUAACUACGUG